rnacentral:rRNA from 1 species
GCUACGGGUGGCAGCAGUGAGGAAUAUUGGUCAAUGGGCGGGAGCCUGAACCAGCCAAGUCGCGUGAGGGAAGACGGUCCUAUGGAUUGUAAACCUCUUUAGGCGGGGAGCAAUGCCGGGCACGCGUGCCCGGAGGGAGAGUACCCGCAGAAUAAGCAUCGGCUAACUCCGUGCCAGCAGCCGCGGUAAAACGGAGGAUGAGAGCGUUAUGCGGAUUUAUUGGGGUUAAGGGGUGAGUAGGCGGAUUGUGAAGUAAGGGGUAAAAUGUACGGGCUCAACCCGGGCCGGCCGUUGAAACUGGGGAUGUUGAGUGUGCGAGAAGUAUGCGGAAUGCGUGUUGUAGCGGUGAAAUGCAUAGAUAUCACGCAGAACUCCGAUUGCGAAGGCAGCAUACCGGCGCCCGACUGACGCUGAGGCACGAAAGCGUGGGGAUCGAUCAGGAUUAGAUACCCGAGUAGUC